UACGUAGGUGGCAAGCGUUGUCCGGAUUCACUGGGCGUAAAGCGCGCGCAGGCGGUCUUCUACGUCUGGGGUGAAAACCCGGGGCUCAACCCCGGGACUGCCUUGGAUACGGGGAGACUUGAGGAUCGGAGAGGCAAGGGGAAUUCCACGUGUAGCGGUGAAAUGCGUAGAGAUGUGGAGGAACACCUGUGGCGAAGGCGACUUGCUGGCCGAUUUCUGACGCUGAGGCGCGAAAGCGUGGGGAGCAAACAGG
rnacentral:rRNA from 1 species